rnacentral:rRNA from 1 species
CAGUCGCCGCGGUAAUACGGAGGGAGCUAGCGUUGUUCGGAAUUACUGGGCGUAAAGCGCACGUAGGCGGUUAUUCAAGUCAGAGGUGAAAGCCCGGGGCUCAACCCCGGAACUGCCUUUGAAACUAGAUGACUGAAAUCUUGGAGAGGUCAGUGGAAUUCCGAGUGUAGAGGUGAAAUUCGUAGAUAUUCGGAAGAAUACCAGUGGCGAAGGCGACUGACUGGACAAGUAUUGACGCUGAGGUGCGAAAGCGUGGGGAGCAAACAGGAUUAGAUACCCGCGUAGUCCCUGUCUCUUAUAC